CCAAUAGCGUAUAUUAAAGUUGUUGCAGUUAAAAAGCUCGUAGUUGAAUUUCGGGAUUGGCGCAUCGGUCGUGCCUCACGGGGUAUGAACUGGUGCAGUCAAUUUCUCACCUUCUGGAGAACCGCGAUGUCCUUAAUUGGAUGCCGCGGGGAACCAGGACCUUUACUUUGAAAAAAUUAGAGUGUUUAAAGCAGGCAUUUUUGCUUGAAUACAUUAGCGUGGAAUAAUAAAAUAGGACGGCAUGGUUCUAUUUUGUUGGUUUCUAGGACCACCGUAAUGAUUAAUAGGGAUAGUUGGGGGCAUUAGUAUUCAAUUGUCAGAGGUGAAAUUCUUGGAUUUAUUGAAGACUAACUACUGCGAAAGCAUUUGCCAAGGAUGUUUUCAUUAAUCAAGAACGAAAGUUAGGGGAUCGAAGACGAUCAGAUACCGUCGUAGUCUUAACCAUAAACUAUGCCGACUAGGAAUCAGACGAUGUUAAUUUUUUAAUGACUCGUUUGGCACCUUACG
rnacentral:rRNA from 1 species